CCCCCUCCCUCCGCCUUUUGUCUAAGAUCAAGUGUAGUAUCUGUUCUUAUCAGUUUAAUCAUAUGGUAAUUCUAUGUUUACCUUUCUGAGGUACUAUUGAAUAUUUUUAAUAUCACACAACUGCU
rnacentral:snRNA from 1 species